AUUGAACGCUGGCGGCAAGCCUAACACAUGCAAGUCGAACGAGUGGCGGACGGGUGAGUAAUGUCUGGGAAACUGCCUGAUGGAGGGGGAUAACUACUGGAAACGGUAGCUAAUACCGCAUACCAUCGGAUGUGCCCAGAUGGGAUUAGCUAGUGGGUGGGGUAAAGGCUCACCUAGGCGAGGAUCCCUAGCUGGUCUGAGAGGAUGACCAGCCACACUGGAACUGAGACACGGUCCAAACUCCUAGGGGAGGCAGCAGUGGGGAAUAUUGCACAAUGGGCGCAAGCCUGCUGCAGCAAUGCCGCUUGUAUGAAGAAGGCCUUCGGGUUGUAAAGUACUUUCAGCGGGGAGGCGGUACCCGCAGAAGAAGCACCGGCUAACUCCGUGCCAGCAGCCGCGGUAAUUC
rnacentral:rRNA from 1 species